GAUGAACGCUGGCGGCGUGCCUAAUACAUGCAAGUCGAGCGAACGGACGAGAAGCUUGCUUCUCUGAUGUUAGCGGCGGACGGGUGAGUAACACGUGGAUAACCUACCUAUAAGACUGGGAUAACUUCGGGAAACCGUAGCUAAUACCGGAUAAUAUUUUGAACCGCAUGGUUCAAAAGUGAAAGACGGUCUUGCUGUCACUUAUAGAUGGAUCCGCGCUGCAUUAGCUAGUUGGUAAGGUAACGGCUUACCAAGGCAACGAUGCAUAGCCGACCUGAGAGGGUGAUAGGCCACACUGGAACUGAGACACGGUCCAGACUCCUAAGGGAGGCAGCAGUAGGGAAUCUUCCGCAAUGGGCGAAAGCCUGACGGAGCAACGCCGCGUGAGUGAUGAAGGUCUUCGGAUCGUAAAACUCUGUUAUUAGGGAAGAACAUAUGUGUAAGUAACUGUGCACAUCUUGACGGUACCUAAUCAGAAAGCCACGGCUAACUACGUG
rnacentral:rRNA from 1 species